rnacentral:rRNA from 1 species
AGAGUUUGAUCAUGGCUCAGAUUGAACGCCGGCGGCAUGCCUUACACAUGCAAGUCGAACGGCAGCAUGAUCUAGCUUGCUAGAUUGAUGGCGAGUGGCGAACGGGUGAGUAAUACAUCGGAACGUGCCCUGUAGUGGGGGAUAACUAGUCGAAAGAUUAGCUAAUACCGCAUACGACCUGAGGGUGAAAGUGGGGGACCGCAAGGCCUCAUGCUAUAGGAGCGGCCGAUGUCUGAUUAGCUAGUUGGUGAGGUAAAGGCUCACCAAGGCGACGAUCAGUAGCUGGUCUGAGAGGACGAUCAGCCACACUGGGACUGAGACACGGCCCAGACUCCUACGGGAGGCAGCAGUGGGGAAUUUUGGACAAUGGGCGAAAGCCUGAUCCAGCAAUGGCCGCGUGUGUGAAGAAGGCCUUCGGGUUGUAAAGCACUUUUGUCCGGAAAGAAAUGGCUCUGGUUAAUACCUGGGGUCGAUGACGGUACCGGAAGAAUAAGGACCGGCUAACUACGUGCCAGCAGCCGCGGUAAUACGUAGGGUCCAAGCGUUAAUCGGAAUUACUGGGCGUAAAGCGUGCGCAGGCGGUUGUGCAAGACCGAUGUGAAAUCCCCGAGCUUAACUUGGGAAUUGCAUUGGUGACUGCACGGCUAGAGUGUGUCAGAGGGGGGUAGAAUUCCACGUGUAGCAGUGAGAUGCGUAGAGAUGUGGAGGAAUACCGAUGGCGAAGGCAGCCCCCUGGGAUAACACUGACGCUCAUGCACGAAAGCGUGGGGAGCAAACAGGAUUAGAUACCCUGGUAGUCCACGCC